UACGGGGGGGGCAAGCGUUGUUCGGAAUUACUGGGCGUAAAGCGUGCGUAGACGGUUAUUUAAGUCGGAUGUGAAAGCCCCGGGCUCAACCUGGGAAUUGCAUUCGAGACUGAAUAGCUAGGGUACGGUAGAGGGAAGUGGAAUUUCCGGUGUAGCGGUGAAAUGCGUAGAUAUCGGGAGGAACACCAAUGGCGAAGGCAGCUCGCUGGGACGUUACUGACGCUGAGACGCGAAAGCGUGGGGAGCAAACAGG
rnacentral:rRNA from 1 species